GCAGGCCUAACACAUGCAAGUCGGACGGAAACGACAAGAACAAUCACUUCGGUGUGCGUUUUUGGGCGUCGAGUGGCGGACGGGUGAGUAACGCGUGGGAAUCUACCCUUUAGUUGGGGACAACAUAUGGAAACGUAUGCUAAUACCGAAUAUGCUCUACGGAGUAAAGGUGCCCUCUCCUUGGAAGGUAUCGCUAGAGGAUGAGCCCGCGUUAGAUUAGCUAGUUGGUAAGGUAAAGGCUUACCAAGGCGACGAUCUAUAGCUGGUUUGAGAGGAUGAUCAGCCACACUGGGACUGAGACACGGCCCAGACUCCUACGGGAGGCAGCAGUGGGGAAUAUUGCACAAUGAGGGAAACCUUGAUGCAGCCAUGCCGCGUGUGUGAAGAAGGCCCGAGGGUUGUAAAGCACUUUCAAUUGUGAGGAAGAUUAAGUAGCUAAUACCUGCUUAGUUUGACGUUAACUUUAGAAGAAGCACCGGCUAACUCUGUGCCAGCAGCCGCGGUAAUACAGAGGGUGCAAGCGUUAUUCGGAAUUACUGGGCGUAAAGCGCGCGUAGGCGGACUGUUAAGUCGGUUGUGAAAGCCCUGGGCUCAACCUAGGAACUGCAUCCGAUACUGGCAAUCUAGAGUUUAAGAGAGGGAAGUGGAAUUCCAGGUGUAGCAGUGAAAUGCGUAGAUAUCUGGAGGAACAUCAGUGGCGAAGGCGACUUCCUGGCUUAAAACUGACGCUGAGGUGCGAAAGCUUGGGUAGCGAACGGGAUUAGAUACCCCGGUAGUCCAAGCCGUAAACGAUGUCAACUAGCUGUUGGCCUUAUU
rnacentral:rRNA from 1 species